GACGAACGCUGGCGGCGUGCUUAACACAUGCAAGUCGAACGGCAAGGCCCUGCUUUUGUGGGGUGCUCGAGUGGCGAACGGGUGAGUAACACGUGAGUAACCUGCCCUUGACUUUGGGAUAACUUCAGGAAACUGGGGCUAAUACCGGAUAGGAGCUCCUGCUGCAUGGUGGGGGUUGGAAAGUUUCGGCGGUUGGGGAUGGACUCGCGGCUUAUCAGCUUGUUGGUGGGGUAGUGGCUUACCAAGGCUUUGACGGGUAGCCGGCCUGAGAGGGUGACCGGCCACAUUGGGACUGAGAUACGGACCAGACUCGUACGGGAGGCAGCAGUGGGGAAUAUUGCACAAUGGGCGGAAGCCUGAGGCAGCAACGCCGCGUGCGGGAUGACGGCCUUCAGGUUGUAAACCGCUUUCGCCUGUGACGAAGCGUGAGUGACGGUAAUGGGUAAAGAAGCACCGGCUAACUACGUG
rnacentral:rRNA from 1 species